rnacentral:tRNA from 1 species
AGGGGAUUAGUUUAGUGGUAGAACAACGGUCUUUGAAGCCGUUCGCACAGGUUCGAUUCCUGUAUCCGUUGCCA